rnacentral:rRNA from 1 species
CCUACGGGUGGCAGCAGUGGGGAAUAUUGCACAAUGGGGGAAACCCUGAUGCAGCGACGCCGCGUGAGUGAAGAAGUAUUUCGGUACGUAAAGCUCUAUCAGCAGGGAAGAAAGUGACGGUACCUGACUAAGAAGCCCCGGCUAACUACGGGCCAGCAGCCGCGGUAAUACGUAGGGGGCAAGCGUUAUCCGGAUUUACUGGGUGUAACGGGAGCGUAGACGGCAGCGCAAGUCUGGAGUGAAAUCCCAUGGCUUAACCAUGGAACUGCUUUGGAAACUGGGCAGCGAGAGUGCAGGAGAGGUAAGCAGAAUUCCUAGUGUAGCGGUGAAAUGCGUAGAGAUUAGGAGGAACACCAGUGGCGAAGGCGGCUUACUGGACUGUAACUGACGUUGAGGCUCGAAAGCGUGGGGAGCAAACAGGAUUAGAUACCCGUGUAGUC